GCCCUACCAAUUUGUGUCAGGUCCACUUUUUUGACUGACAGACACACGCUCUCAUUGAUACAUGCACUCACUGACAGAUACACAGUCAUUGGCACACACAUACAGUAAUUUGCACACACACUGUUUAACCAACACACACUUUCACUGACAGGCACACACUUACACACUCACUCACUGACAGAUGCACACUCUCAUGACACUUAUCGACACACACAUCCU